rnacentral:lncRNA from 1 species
AACCAAACAAAUAUACUAUUAUAUACUAAAUGCCCACAUCCCAAUUUUAAUUACAGUAUUCCUUUUGUUAACAUAAAAUGCUGCAUCUAAUAAAAGCAUGAUACAUUUCUACAAUUUAGUGACAAAAUUAAAGGGUCUUUGUAGAGAAGAUAAUGAAGCAAGCACCAAAACAGUUCAAACAAUAAAAUCAACAUUACAUUGAUUUUAAGAAAAGCCAAGAAUAUACAGGUGCUUAUAUAAAAGAGAAACACAGAACUUCAUACGAGAGGAAAGAGAGAUGGCUCUUAACUAUAUUUAGAUUCUUCGGCCCAAAUAAAAACUUUUAAGAACACAAAUAACAGUCAACACUUGCUUUAUGAAGACAGGUCAUGUUACAAGACU